rnacentral:lncRNA from 1 species
CUUGUUUCUACACAAUUUGUGAAUGUGUUCUUUGUAGGUUAUAUACUGAUUCCUCACAGUGUCUGUUUCCUUUGGCUUAAUUUGUCAAGGUCCAAGGUUUAUCUGUGGCAAUCUGUGGCAUGCACUGUACUAACUUAUUAGAAAGAGUGAACUAAAUAAUUUAGCCAGAUGAAAAGAAAGCACAGAAACUUUUUUUUUUUUUUACCUCACAAGCGUGGAGUGCGUCCCUGCAUGUAAACAUGUGUGCUAUUUUGAUCAUGUUUCGAACAGAAGUCUAACAAAUGCACCUUGAAAGCACUGGUGAAUAGGUGUAGAUUUGUGUUUGAAGUUUGGUAUGCUAUUUUAAGCACAAUAAUUUACACCAUUGCCCUAUAUCUCUUGCAGUUCUUUACUGCCUCUGUACUACAGGUUUCUACAACUAUGGUAGUCCCAACUAGUACUAGAUAUACCAGUCUUGACUGCUGGAUUGCAGACUGAGCAGAACCUCCUGCACAUCUCUAGUCCCAUUAUGGCUGUCCAGACCAUGUACAGACAAGUCAUCUCAGAACUAGUUUCCAUCUAUGGGAUACUCUGUGGACAUGUUUCUUGCCCAGUACUCUCCUUUAAAAGCAAAGAAUCUACAUUUUCUAAUUCUCCAGCUCAAUUAACGGUGACAAAUAUUACAGCAAUCCAGAACAGAAGCUAUGCCACAAGCAUGAAGGGCAACCAUUUGGGCCACUGAAACCAAGUCAGAAAGCACGUAUCCAGCUAGCCCAUAGCUUGUCUUUCUUCGGGCAAGACUAGAGAUCAGCUGCAGUAGACUUUGACUCUUAAAGCACUACUGCUAUGCAGGUUCACAUGUUUGAGAAGACCAGAGCUACAUCUGUGGGAGGAGGGACAGCUUGACAGUACUCCUUUUCUUGCAACUCCAUGUCAAGCCACAUUUUGAACCAAGAGGAUGGGGAUGUGACAGACCAGUCACUGUGCUAGCCCAGUGCGAACUGGGAUCACGCAGAGGAAAAAGAUAAAUAAGUAACCCAGAUAAAAUAGGCUUCCCCUUCCUCACUUCUUGCUAUGUGUUUUACUGCUGCAGGAGAAAGUGGAACUAUUGUGGACUAUUACACAAAUGUUUCUGUUUUUAAUUAAAAAAAAUAAAAAUUGUCCCUUUUAUUACUGGCUAAUGGAC